rnacentral:rRNA from 1 species
GACGAAGGGGGCUAGCGUUGUUCGGAAUUACUGGGCGUAAAGCGCGUGUAGGCGGUUGUUCAAGUCAGGUGUGAAAGCCUUGAGCUCAACUCAAGAAAUGCACUUGAUACUGGAUGACUAGAGGACCGGAGAGGAUAGUGGAAUUCCCAGUGUAGUGGUGAAAUACGUAGAGAUUGGGAAGAACACCAGUGGCGAAGGCGGCUAUCUGGACGGUUUCUGACGUAAGACGCGAA